UACGUAGGGCGCAAGCGUUAUCCGGAAUUAUUGGCGUAAGAGCUCGUAGGCGGUUUGUCGCGUCUGCCGUGAAAGUCCGGGGCUCAACUCCGGAUCUGCGGUGGGUACGGGCAGACUAGAGUGAUGUAGGGGAGACUGGAAUUCCUGGUGUAGCGGUGAAAUGCGCAGAUAUCAGGAGGAACACCGAUGGCGAAGGCAGGUCUCUGGGCAUUAACUGACGCUGAGGAGCGAAAGCAUGGGGAGCGAACAGG
rnacentral:rRNA from 1 species